UUGGACAGUGGGGCUGGAUGACAAACUUGUAAAGAGUGGCUACUGGUCAGCCACUGUGACUCACUAGACCAUCUUCACAGUGGACCUCUUCUAGUCCUUUGAAGACAUGAAGGUGUUGGCCCCAGGAUGCUCCCGUCAAGCCUUUGUGGGAAUGCUUGACGGAUGAACAAAGCACUUUGGCAGGAGUGGAAAGAUAUGUGGCGACACAUUCCAGAAGGCAUUCCGUGAGUGGACGUACUGGCAGUUUGAAAUAGACAAGCUUUGUGGAAGCAAUCUCCUCCAUUGUCCUGCCUGCUCACAGGAGAUGCAUGCUAUAUCAGUGGAUGGGAAUCACAAUCAAUACCGCUUCCGGAGAGCCUCAGGGUUUGGAGCCCACUCUAAAGAUGAACCCUUUAUCCUGACACCUCUGG